rnacentral:rRNA from 1 species
AUUGAACGCUAGCGGGAUGCCUUACACAUGCAAGUCGAACGAGUGGCGGACGUGUUAUAAAUAUAUCGGAACAUGCCCAGGAGAUGGGGAUAACUACUCGUAACAGUUGCUAAUACCGCAUUCUAUUGCCGCGGCCGAUAUCGGAUUAGCUAGUGGGUAGGGUAAAGGCUAACCAAGGCCACUAUCCGUAGCUGGUUUGCGAGGACGACCAGCCACACUGGGACUGAGACACGGCCCAGACUCCUACGGGAGGCAGCAGUGGGGAAUUUUGGACAAUGGGGGAAACCCUGAUCCAGCCAUCCCGCGUGUAUGAGAAGGCCUUCGGGUUGUAAAGUACUUUUGGCAGGGAGGCGUGACCUGCAGAAUAAGCACCGGCUAACUACGUGCCAGCAGCCGCGGUAAUUC